rnacentral:misc_RNA from 1 species
AACGCAACUGGCGCUGGCAAAACCAGCAUACUUGUUUCAGUGUGCGCAAACAAAUUAACAAUACAAAUGUGAGAGAAACUCUCUCAUGAAAUACAUGCUCCCAGCAGCAGUCACAUUAAUUUGUGAGCUCUUGGGUUGACUUACGCCUUAUUUGCACCUGAAAUCAAGUAAGAUGACCCGCUGGACUUAA